GGCGAACGGGUGAGUAAUAUAUCGGAACGUGCCCGGUCGUGGGGGAGUAACGUAAGCGAAAGCUACGCUAAUACCGCNUACGAUCUACGGAUGAAANCGGGGGAGUCGCAAGACCUCGCGCGAUUGGAGCGGCCGAUAUCAGAUUAGGUAGUUGGUGAGGUAAAGGCUCACCAAGCCGACGAUCUGUAGCUGGUCUGAGAGGACGACCAGCCACACUGGGACUGAGACACGGCCCAGACUCCUACGGGAGGCAGCAGUGGGGAAUUUUGGACAAUGGGCGCAAGCCUGAUCCAGCAAUGCCGCGUGCAGGAUGAAGGCCUUCGGGUUGUAAACUGCUUUUGUACGGAACGAAACGGUGAGCUCUAAUACAGUUUGCUAAUGACGGUACCGUAAGAAUAAGCACCGGCUAACUACGUG
rnacentral:rRNA from 1 species